rnacentral:misc_RNA from 1 species
UUUCCGUAGGUGAACCUGCGGAAGGAUCAUUAUCGAGUUCUGAUAAUUCAUUAUCAAACUUCAUCCUAUGUUUACAUACUUUGUAUACUUUGGCAAGACGCUUUGACUUGAAGUUGAGUUUAAUUAGUAUUCCUAAUUAAGCGACGCCACAAGAAUAAGCCACUGACAUUCCCUCAAGAAUUGUGAGUGUGUUUUGCUUGCCAAAGGUUUCCACUCUUUUAUUUGCAGUCUGAGUAAACAAAAAAUAAAUUAAAACUUUCAACAACGGAUCUCUUGGUUCUGGCAUCGAUGAAGAACGCAGC